rnacentral:rRNA from 1 species
GCUGUGAAGAUGCAGUGUACCCGCGGCAAGACGGAAAGACCCCGUGAACCUUUACUAUAGCUUGACACUGAACAUUGAGCCUUGAUGUGUAGGAUAGGUGGGAGGCUUAGAAGUGUGGACGCCAGUCUGCAUGGAGCCGACCUUGAAAUACCACCCUUUAAUGUUUGAUGUUCUAACGUUGACCCGUAAUCCGGGUUGCGGACAGUGUCUGGUGGGUAGUUUGACUGGGGCGGUCUCCUCCUAAAGAGUAACGGAGGAGCACGAAGGUUGGCUAAUCCUGGUCGGACAUCAGGAGGUUAGUGCAAUGGCAUAAGCCAGCUUGACUGCGAGCGUGACGGCGCGAGCAGGUGCGAAAGCAGGUCAUAGUGAUCCGGUGGUUCUGAAUGGAAGGGCCAUCGCUCAACGGAUAAAAGGUACUCCGGGGAUAACAGGCUGAUACCGCCCAAGAGUUCAUAUCGACGGCGGUGUUUGGCACCUCGAUGUCGGCUCAUCACAUCCUGGGGCUGAAGUAGGUCCCAAGGGUAUGGCUGUUCGCCAUUUAAAGUGGUACGCGAGCUGGGUUUAGAACGUCGUGAGACAGUUCGGUCCCUAUCUGCCGUGGGCGCUGGAGAACUGAGGGGGGCUGCUCCUAGUACGAGAGGACCGGAGUGGACGCAUCACUGGUGUUCGGGUUGUCAUGCCAAUGGCACUGCCCGGUAGCUAAAUGCGGAAGAGAUAAGUGCUGAAAGCAUCUAAGCACGAAACUUGCC